AGAGUUUGAUCCUGGCUCAGAAUGAACGCUGGCGGCGUGCUUAACACAUGCAAGUCGAACGAUGAAGCCUAGCUUGCUAGGUGGAUUAGUGGCGCACGGGUGAGUAAUAUAUAGGUAACGUGCCUCUUAGUCUGGGAUAGCCAUUGGAAACGAUGAUUAAUACUGGAUACUCCUUCUAACUCUAAUGUUAGUCGGGAAAGUUUUUCGCUAAGAGAUCGGCCUAUUUCCCAUCAGCUUGUUGGUAGUGUAAGAGACUACCAAGGCUAUGACGGGUAGCGGGUUUGAGAGGAUGAUCCGCCACACUGGUACUGAGACACGGACCAGACUCCUACGGGAGGCAGCAGUGAGGAAUAUUGCACAAUGGACGAAAGUCUGAUGCAGCAACGCCGCGUGGAGGAUGACACAUUUCGGUGCGUAAACUCCUUUUAUAUGAGAAGAAAAUGACGGUAUCAUAUGAAUAAGCGCCGGCUAACUCCGUGCCAGCAGCCGCGGUAAUACGGAGGGCGCAAGCGUUACUCGGAAUCACUGGGCGUAAAGAGCGUGUAGGCGGGUAUUUAAGUUGGAAGUGAAAUCCUAUGGCUCAACCAUAGAACUGCUUCCAAAACUGAAUACCUAGAAUAUGGGAGAGGUAGAUGGAAUUUCUGGUGUAGGGGUAAAUCCGUAGAGAUCAGAAGGAAUACCGAUUGGGAAGGCGAUUUACUGGAACCUUAUUGACGCUGAGACGCGAAAGCGUGGGGAGCAAACAGGAUUAGAUACCCUGGUAGUCCACGCCCUAAACGAUGUACCUUAGUUGUUGCGAUGCUAGACAUUGCAGUAAUGCAGUUAACACAUUAAAUGUACCGCCUGGGGAGUACGGUCGCAAGAUUAAAACUCAAAGGAAUAGACGGGGACCCGCACAAGCGGUGGAGCAUGUGGUUUAAUUCGACGAUACGCGAAGAACCUUACCUGGCCUUGACAUAGAAAGAAUUUAGCAGAGAUGUAAAAGUGCUAGUUUACUAGAGCUUUCAUACAGGUGCUGCACGGCUGUCGUCAGCUCGUGUCGUGAGAUGUUAGGUUAAGUCCUGCAACGAGCGCAACCCUCGUGUUUAGUUACUAACAGUUCGGCUGAGGACUCUAGACAUACUGCCUGGGCAACCAGGAGGAAGGUGAGGACGACGUCAAGUCAUCAUGGCCCUUACGGCCAGGGCUACACACGUGCUACAAUGGGGCGUACAGAGAGUUGCGAUACCGCGAGGUGGAGCCAAUCUCAUAAAGCGUCUCUCAGUUCGGAUUGAAGUCUGCAACUCGACUUCAUGAAGCUGGAAUCACUAGUAAUCGUAGAUCAGCAAUGCUACGGUGAAUACGUUCCCGGGUCUUGUACUCACCGCCCGUCACACCAUGGGAGUUGAUUUCACCCGAAAUUGGGAAGCUAACCUUCGGGGGGCUACCACUUACGGUGGAAUUAGCGACUGGGGUGAAGUCGUAACAAGGUAACC
rnacentral:rRNA from 1 species